rnacentral:rRNA from 1 species
UGGGGAAUAUUGGGCAAUGGGCGCAAGCCUGACCCAGCCACGCCGCGUGAGUGAUGAAGGCCUUCGGGUCGUAAAGCUCUGUGGGGAGGGACGAAAAAACAGCGGCUAAUACCCGCUGGACUGACGGUACCUCCUUAGCAAGCACCGGCUAACUCCGUGCCAGCAGCCGCGGUAAUACGGAGGGUGCAAACGUUGCUCGGAAUCAUUGGGCGUAAAGCGUACGUAGGCGGUCCAGCAAGUCGGGUGUGAAAUACCUGGGCUUAACCGAGGAAGUGCAAACGAAACUACUGGACUUGAGUACUGAAGAGGGUCGCGGAAUUCCCGGUGUAGAGGUGAAAUUCGUAGAUAUCGGGAGGAACACCAGUGGCGAAGGCGGCGACCUGGGCAGAUACUGACGCUGAGGUACGAAAGCGUGGGGAGCAAACAG